GUGUUGUAUGAAAGGAGAGAAGUUUAGCACUCCCCUAGACAAGGAUGGAAUACAAUACACAUGGCUAAGGCACACUUAACCACAAUUUUUU
rnacentral:ncRNA from 14 species